rnacentral:ncRNA from 1 species
AUCUUCAGGGAUGGGUGAAAUUCCCUAUCGGCGGUAAAGCCCGCGAGCCGAAAGGCAGGAUCCGGUGAAACUCCGGGGCCGACAGUAUAGUCUGGAUGGAAGAAGAU